AGGGCUGUAGCUCAGUGGUAAAGUAAAUGCUUUUCAUGUUUGAGGCCCUGGGUUCAAUGCCAGGCAACCUUG
rnacentral:tRNA from 1 species